rnacentral:rRNA from 1 species
UUCGUAACAAGGUUUCCGUAGGUGAACCUGCGG